rnacentral:lncRNA from 1 species
CUAAGAUACAAAUCAGGAGCUACUGAUGCAAAGAAUGGGGACCAGGAGGAAGAGUUUCUUCGAGACCUGGUGGUUGAAGAGCAGUGGAUCAUUCUUGGCUGUGGUGGGAGAGGUGCUGAACGUUGUUCACGCUGGCUAUGUCAUGAGUGGAAUCUAUGGCGUCAAGGCUAGAGCUGGAGGGAAUGGGCUCCCCAUUGAGGUGAUGGACUUCAUCCCUGGUGCUAUUCAAGCAGUGGCUGUGGGCUUCCAGUCAGGGAUGCAGUGAAUGAGCCUCUUAUACCAGAGAAGGAUGGAUAGAGAAAAGCAUCAUUACAAAAGUGAAAUGUGUGAAUUUUAUUCUGGCUUUGAACAUUGAGUAGACGAAGAAGACAAUUCCAGACGGAGGAAACUCCACAAGAAAUAUCAUGGAAAUUUGAAAGAACACAGUGGGCUUGGGAAGAGAGAUCUCAGUGGUGGAAGCACCAUCAUCCCAAGGAGACUUAGGACAUUAUUUGAAGAGAGUUUUCCCCUGAGGAAAGUGCUUCAGAGGAGAAAAUACACCAGUUUGAAAGAAACAGCCACGGUUUGCAUGGUGUUCCAUGGUUUGUUUCUACCUUGCUGUGCAUGACCUCCACUGCUAAGGUCAUUUAUGGCCCAAGAUGAUUACUCCAGCUCCAGCCAUCACAUCUGUAUUCCAUCCUGCAGAAAGGAAGAAAGAAGAAAAAGACAAGGCCCUGCUCUGAGGAGUGAAGACACAAUCCAGCAGGCAGGAGGGAUGGCUAAGUUCAAAGUCUUGAGAAGUGCCCCUCAUGGACACCCCAGGGUGCCCAUCUCCAGGUUACCACCAGGUGCUUCCAAGACCAAGAUAACCAGGCAAUCAUAGUAGAUGCAUCAAUGCACCCUUGCCCAAGGGCCUAGACAAGAGGUAUUGUUUAGCUUCGCAUGAAUUUUAUCACCUUGCCUAGAACCAGCCACCAUCUGCCAGGGCUCCUGACUUUUUCUGAAAUGAAUAGACACUAAAGCCUGCUGGGGAAUUUCAUGGAAAUCAAGAUGACUCAACCCAGAGUCCAUUUCAAGGCUAGGAUGCUAGAGGACGCCAACAAAGGAGUAGGGAAGUGAAACGGAUCAGCUCACAUCCAAGCCCUUGCAUGAUCAAUCCUGCAGUAGGAGUGCUGCUCAGUUGGGACUCAUGAGAGCCCGGAAGAGGAAAAAGCAGCUCUAAGCAUAGCAAAGAAGCUGUUAUGGAAAAGACCCAAAUGUUAAAAUGGUGGACAUAGUAAAGUGAUUGGUUCUGCUUAGGGGAAUCUAGAUCCCCACAUUUUGACCUCCACUGGAGUCUCAGAAGAACAAGUGCCAGGGGGGCUUGCCACAGAGGCCAAGGCAGUGAAUGUCAGGCACAUCACAGUCCCCAAGAUGGGGAGAAGACUGAGAUGCAGGGUAACAACUGCAAUCCAUUCAUGGGAGCCAUGUUUAUCUUAAAUCAUUGACAGUGAGAUAAGGAUCAUGUCAGCCUUCAUACCUUUGAUGAUGAUCCCAGGCUGCAACAGUGACACAUAGAACUGGAUUCAGUAACUAACUACAGAUUCCAUCAACCAGGACUAGUAAAGUGAAAGGCAGAAAUUGGGAGGAGGGGUUUCUUUCUUGCUUAUAAAACUUUAUUUGGUUGUGUUGAGUAUGUGCAUGUAUGUAUGAAAUCCCAUAAAGCAGUCUUCUUAGGAACAAGCCAACAUGCCACAAUGUAGGAGAUCUUUGGAGCACUGGCCUAAAUGGCAGAGAGCUCAAGGGACUCUGCUUUGUACAAGGCAUGAUUUGUACCACCACCACUAUCCCUGUUUCAGAGCACUGUUGAAUUGUUCCAAACCUGGAUUUCUAUGUCAGCUCCCUGUCUAUAGUACUUGACUGAUAAAUGCUAGUUUCUGAAAUCUGCUUUGGUUCUAUAAUUUAUUAGACAGCUUUUUCUUCCCAUUUUAUUACUUGUUUU